rnacentral:rRNA from 1 species
GUGUCAGCAGCCGCGGUAAGACGAGGGAUCCUAGCGUUGCUCGGAAUUAUUGGGCGUAAAGCGGGUGUAGGUGGCUUGGUAAGUCGGGUGUGAAAGCCCAGGGCUCAACCCUGGAAGUGCAUUCGAUACUGCUGAGCUUGAGUGCGAGAGAGGUUAUUAGAAUACCUGGUGUAGUGGUGAAAUACGUAGAUAUCAGGUGGAACACCGGAGGCGAAGGCGGAUAACUGGCUCGACACUGACACUGAGACCCGAAAGCGUGGGGAUCAAACAGGAUUAGAAACCCCUGUAGUCC